CUGCUGCCUUCCGUAGGAGUUUGGGCCGUGUCUCAGUCCCAAUGUGGCCGUUCACCCUCUCAGGCCGGCUACUGAUCGUCGCUUGGUAGGCCGUUACCCUGCCAACUGGCUAAUCAGACGCGGGUCCAUCUCAUACCACCGGAGUUUUUACCACUGCACCAUGCAGUGCUGUGGUCUUAUGCGGUAUUAGCAGUCAUUUCUAACUGUUAUCCCCCUGUAUGAGGCAGGUUACCCACGCGUUACUCACCCG
rnacentral:rRNA from 1 species